CCUACGGGAGGCAGCAGUGAGGAAUAUUGGUCAAUGGGCGCGAGCCUGAACCAGCCAAGUAGCGUGAAGGAUGACUGCCCUACGGGUUGUAAACCUCUUUUAUAAAGGAAUCAAGUGAGGCACGUGUGCCUGUUUGUAUGUAAUUUAUGAAUAAGGAUCGGCUAACUCCGUGCCAGCAGCCGCGGUAAUACGGAGGGUCCGAGCGUUUUCCGGAUGUUUUGGGUUUAAAGGGAGCGUAGAUGGGUUGUUAAGUCAGUUGUGAAAGUUUGCGGCUCAAACGUAAAAUUGCAAUUGAGACUGGCAGUCUUGAGUACAGUAGAGGUAGGCGGAAUGCGUGGUGUAGCGGGGAAAUGCUUAGAUAUCACGAAGAACUCCGAUUGCGAAGGCAGCUUACUAACCUGCCACUGACAUUGAUGCUCGAAAGUGUGGGUAUCAAACAGGAUUAGAUACCCCGGUAGUC
rnacentral:rRNA from 1 species